rnacentral:rRNA from 1 species
GACGAACGCUGGCGGCGUGCCUAAUACAUGCAAGUAGAACGCUGAAGAGAGGAGCUUGCUCUUCUUGGAUGAGUUGCGAACGGGUGAGUAACGCGUAGGUAACCUGCCUGGUAGCGGGGGAUAACUAUUGGAAACGAUAGCUAAUACCGCAUAACAACAGUUGUUGCAUGACAGCUGUUUAAAAGAUGCAAUUGCAUCACUACCAGAUGGACCUGCGUUGUAUUAGCUAGUUGGUGAGGUAACGGCUCACCAAGGCGACGAUACAUAGCCGACCUGAGAGGGUGAUCGGCCACACUGGGACUGAGACACGGCCUAGACUCCUACGGGAGGCAGCAGUAGGGAAUCUUCGGCAAUGGGGGGAACCUUGACCGAGCAACGCCGCGUGAGUGAAGAAGGUUUUCGGAUCGUAAAGCUCUGUUGUAAGAGAAGAACGGGUGUGAGAGUGGAAAGUUCACACUGUGACGGUAUCUUACCAGAAAGGGACGGCUAACUACGUGCCAGCAGCCGCGGUAAUACGUAGGUCCCGAGCGUUGUCCGGAUUUAUUGGGCGUAAAGCGAGCGCAGGCGGUUAGAUAAGUCUGAAGUUAAAGGCUGUGGCUUAACCAUAGUAUGCUUUGGAAACUGUUUAACUUGAGUGCAGAAGGGGAGAGUGGAAUUCCAUGUGUAGCGGUGAAAUGCGUAGAUAUAUGGAGGAACACCGGUGGCGAAAGCGGCUCUCUGGUCUGUAACUGACGCUGAGGCUCGAAAGCGUGGGGAGCAAACAGG